rnacentral:rRNA from 1 species
UACCGCAUGACAAAUAUAAUCCGCAUGGAUUAUAUUUUAAAGGAGAAAUCCGCUUUGAGAUGGACCCGCGGCGCAUUAGCUAGUUGGCAGGGUAACGGCCUACCAAGGCGACGAUGCGUAGCCGACCUGAGAGGGUGAACGGCCACAUUGGAACUGAGAGACGGUCCAGACUCCUACGGGAGGCAGCAGUGGGGAAUAUUGCACAAUGGGCGAAAGCCUGAUGCAGCAACGCCGCGUGAGUGAAGAAGGUUUUCGGAUUGUAAAGCUCUGUCAUCUGGGACGAUAAUGACGGUACCAGAUGAGGAAGCCACGGCUAACUACGUGCCAGCAGCCGCGGUAAUACGUAGGUGGCAAGCGUUGUCCGGAAUUACUGGGCGUAAAGGGUGCGCAGGCGGACAUUUAAGUGAGAUGUGAAAUACCCGGGCUUAACCCGGGCAGUGCAUUUCAAACUGGGUGUCUGGAGUGCAGGAGAGGAGAACGGAAUUCCUAGUGUAGCGGUGAAAUGCGUAGAGAUUAGGAAGAACACCAGUGGCGAAGGCGGUUCUCUGGACUGUAACUGACGCUGAGGCACGAAAGCGUGGGUAGCAAACAGGAUUAGAUACCCUGGUAGUCCACGCCGUAAACGAUGAGUACUAGGUGUAGG